GACGAACGCUGGCGGCGUGCCUAAUACAUGCAAGUUGAGCGCUGAAGGUUGGUACUUGUACCGACUGGAUGAGCAGCGAACGGGUGAGUAACGCGUGGGGAAUCUGCCUUUGAGCGGGGGACAACAUUUGGAAACGAAUGCUAAUACCGCAUAAAAACUUUAAACACAAGUUUUAAGUUUGAAAGAUGCAAUUGCAUCACUCAAAGAUGAUCCCGCGUUGUAUUAGCUAGUUGGUGAGGUAAAGGCUCACCAAGGCGAUGAUACAUAGCCGACCUGAGAGGGUGAUCGGCCACAUUGGGACUGAGACACGGCCCAAACUCCUACGGGAGGCAGCAGUAGGGAAUCUUCGGCAAUGGACGAAAGUCUGACCGAGCAACGCCGCGUGAGUGAAGAAGGUUUUCGGAUCGUAAAACUCUGUUGGUAGAGAGGAACGUUGGUGAGAGUGGAAAGCUCAUCAAGUGACGGUAACUACCCAGAAAGGGACGGCUAACUACGUGCCAGCAGCCGCCGCAGUAA
rnacentral:rRNA from 1 species